UUUUGGCGAGUUUGAUCCUGGCUCAGAGCGAACGCUGGCGGCGUACUUAACACAUGCAAGUCGUACGAGAAUCGUCGGGUUAGCAAUAAUUCGGCGGUUCGAGUGGCGCACGGGUGAGUAACACGUGGGUAACCCACCCUUGAGACCGGGAUACCCUCUCGAAAGGGAGGCUAAUACUGGAUACGUUCCCUG
rnacentral:rRNA from 1 species